rnacentral:rRNA from 1 species
GAUGAACGCUGGCGGCGUGCCUAAUACAUGCAAGUCGAGCGAAUGGAUUAAGAGCUUGCUCUUAUGAAGUUAGCGGCGGACGGGUGAGUAACACGUGGGUAACCUGCCCAUAAGACUGGGAUAACUCCGGGAAACCGGGGCUAAUACCGGAUAACAUUUUGAACCGCAUGGUUCGAACUUGAAAGGCGGCUUCGGCUGUCACCUCUGGAUGGACCCGCGUCGCAUUAGCUAGUUGGUGAGGUAACGGCUCACCAAGGCAACGAUGCGUAGCCGACCUGAGAGGGUGAUCGGCCACACUGGGACUGAGACACGGCCCAGACUCCUACGGGAGGCAGCAGUAGGGAAUCUUCCGCAAUGGACGAAAGUCUGACGGAGCAACGCCGCGUGAGUGAUGAAGGCUUUCGGGUCGUAAAACUCUGUUGUUAGGGAAGAACAAGUGCUAGUUGAAUAAGCUGGCACCUUGACGGUACCUAACCAGAGAGCCACGGCUAACUACGUGCCAGCAGCCGCAGUAA